rnacentral:lncRNA from 12 species
CAGCUUCGUUUUCCCUGGGACCGUGAACAAAGGUUCUCUGUAAACGUACGUGGGUCCCGUGCGCCUGCCGGUCACUCCCCAGAGGCCUCGGGCCGCGGGGCGAGGGCUGAGGCUGGCAGCGCGGGGCUCCGGGGCUCCGGGGCGCUCCCGCCCCCUCCCGCCCCCUCCCUCCCCGGGGCUGGCCCGCGCCGCCAGCCUCCCCGAGGGCCCCGAGCUGGGGGCCGGACGGGCGGGGGCUCGGGCUCAGCUCGCGGCCGCGCCCCGAGGGUGGCAACGGCGCCGUCCGCCCCGCGGGGAUCGCGGCCCCGGGCCACACCCUGGCCCUUCGCGGCCGCCGCGUACCCCUGCACCGCCGAGCACCUGGCCGCGGCCCUUACGACCCCACCUCCACGCCUCUCGUCCACCCGCUGCCCUCCCCGGCCACCCAGACUUCUGGAACAAACUUUUGGCGCAACUUUAUUUCACUCGGGAGUGGUAUUUUCCAGUUCCACUCAGAUGUCUGAUUGUCAGCUUUAUGUCUCAGGAAGUAUUCCUCGCAAUUCAGGUACAGUAAAGUAUCUAGCUCCCGCUAGCCUCUGUGUACUAUAUAACUUUUAUAGUCAUUAUAAAAAAUAAUUUAUUGAAAAAACUUAAACCUUAUCCAACUCAGGUGACUUUUGAUUUAAAUGUCUGUGAGCCUGGCUAUGGUAAUCAGUGAUGGCAGGGUUUUUUUUUUUUUUUUUUUUCCUGAAUUAAGUUUGCUGUUUAUAUCACAAAGUUAGAAGGUAUGAAAAUAAAGUCAUCUCAAAGAUAACCA